rnacentral:rRNA from 1 species
GACAGAGGGUGCAAACGUUGUUCGGAAUUACUGGGCGUAAAGCGCGUGUAGGCUGCUCAGAAAGUCGGAUGUGAAAGCCCUGGGCUUAACCUAGGAAGUGCAUUCGAAACUUCUGAGCUUGAGUUCUGGAGAGGAAGGCGGAAUUCUCGGUGUAGAGGUGAAAUUCGUAGAUAUCGGAAGGAACACCAGUGGCGAAAGCGGCUUCCUGGUCCAGCACCGACAUUCAGGCACGAAAGCGUGGGGAGCAAACAGG